rnacentral:rRNA from 1 species
CGGAUUCUGGCUCAGAUUGAACGCUGGCGGCGUGCUUAACACAUGCGAGUCGCGCGUGAAAGGACUUCGGUCCGAGUAAAGCGGCGCACGGGUGAGUAACGCGUGGAUGAUCUACCCAUGAGUUAGGAAUAACGGCUGGAAACGGUCGCUAAUACCAAAUACGCUCCGAUUUCAACUUCGGGGGAAAGGUGGCCUCUGCUUGCAAGCUACUGCUCAUGGAUGAGUCCGCGUCCCAUUAGCUAGUUGGUGGGGUAACGGCCCACCAAGGCGACGAUGGGUAGCCGGUCUGAGAGGAUGACCGGCCACACUGGGACUGGAACACGGCCCAGACUCCUACGGGAGGCAGCAGUGGGGAAUAUUGCGCAAUGGGCGAAAGCCUGACGCAGCGACGCCGCGUGAGGGAUGAAAGGUCCUCGGAUCGUAAACCUCUGUCAGGAGGGAAGAACCGCCACGGUGCUAAUCAGCCGUGGUCUGACGGUACCUCCAAAGGAAGCACCGGCUAACUCCGUGCCAGCAGCAGC